GGGCUAGCAGCAGUGAUUUAGUAUCUCUCUUUUCCUUCUUACUCUGUCUCUUCCUGGGGUCCAUAAUAGAGAAUUGAGAAUUCAUUUUAUCGAACUGUUUAAUAAGAAGGUGUGUUUUCUGCAAGGGUAGACUGCCUGAAGCUUUGGCAGAUGAAAUCUGGAAAAGAGUCUUCCUUUGCUGGUAGAGUGUUUACUGGAUGCCUGUGAAAAUCUUUUAUGAUAAUUGCUCAA